ensembl:rRNA 5S_rRNA 5S ribosomal RNA
GUCUGUGGCCUUACCACUCUGAAUAUAAUCUCAUCUGAUCUCGGAAGCUAAGCAGGGUUGAGCCUGGUUAUUACUUGGAUGGGAGAUUGCCUAGGAAUAACAGGUGCUAUAGGCU